rnacentral:rRNA from 1 species
CCUACGGGGGGCUGCAGUCGAGAAUCUUCCGCAAUGGGCGCAAGCCUGACGGAGCGAUGCCGCGUGAGGGAAGAAGGCCUUCGGGUCGUAAACCUCUGUCACCCGGGACGAAACAAAUGACGGUACCGGGAAAGGAAGCCACGGCUAACCACGUGCCAGCAGCCGCGGUAACACGUGGGUGGCGAGCGUUAUUCGGAUUUACUGGGCGUAAAGGGUCCGCAGGGGGCCUGCCACGCCCGCCGUGAAAUUUCAGGGCUCAACCCUGAACCUGCGGCGGGUACGGGCGGGCUGGAGUGCAGGAUGGGCAGACGGAAUUCCAGGUGUAGCGGUGGAAUGCGUAGAUAUCUGGAAGAACACCGAUGGCGAAGGCGGUCUGCUGGCCUGCAACUGACCCUCAGGGACGAGAGCGUGGGUAGCAAACAGGAUUAGAUACCCCAGUAGUC